GACGAACGCUGGCGGCGUGCUUAACACAUGCAAGUCGAACGGAAAGGCCCUGCUUUUGUGGGGUGCUCGAGUGGCGAACGGGUGAGUAACACGUGAGUAACCUGCCCUUGACUUUGGGAUAACUUCAGGAAACUGGGGCUAAUACCGGAUAGGAGCUCCUGCUGCAUGGUGGGGGUUGGAAAGUUUCGGCGGUUGGGGAUGGACUCGCGGCUUAUCAGCUUGUUGGUGGGGUAGUGGCUUACCAAGGCUUUGACGGGUAGCCGGCCUGAGAGGGUGACCGGCCACAUUGGGCCUGAGAUACGGCCCAGACUCCUACGGGAGGCAGCAGUGGGGAAUAUUGCACAAUGGGCGGAAGCCUGAUGCAGCAACGCCGCGUGCGGGAUGACGGCCUUCGGGUUGUAAACCGCUUUCGCCCGUGACGAAGCGUGAGUGACGGUAAUGGGUAAAGAAGCACCGGCUAACUACGUG
rnacentral:rRNA from 1 species